CAAUUGAAAGAAAAUAUUUAAAAUUAAUUAAAUAAUUAGCAAAAAUAUAAUAAUAUUAUAAUUAUAAUUAAAUAUUAUAAUAUACAUAAAGAGGGAUCUACUGGUGUGAGUAGCUUUUGUAUUUCUAAGGAACUUUAGAUUCUUUGUGCCGUGGAUUAAAAAUAAAAUCUGUAUGCUGGAUUAUAAAAGCUUGAUUGAAGCCAGAGCAGAUGAUACAUAAUCCGCAGAUACGUUAGGGACAUUUGUCCUCUAAAAAUAAUGUGUUUAAGACUCUGUGUCCUUUACAUGCAUUAAAUAAAGGCUUGAUGGUAAAUAUAUAUGUGGUGGAACCUGCAGUAAUGAGGCCACCGGUGCAGAUGCUGUGAUCACAGCUGUUCCAAACACACCCAGAUGUGUGCUGACCUGAAAUGCUUAGGUUUCAGUUCACAACCAUCCAACAGAUGGUGAAUUCUGCUGCCUGAAAAAUGUAGGGUUGAUGUAAAUGUUAUUAAUUAUAUAUGCAAAACUGAGAAUUAUGUUAAAGCUGAACUGCUUCUUAAAUGUCUAAAAUGUUCACACAUGGUGAUUUUAUUGAUUUUUAAUUGUUUAAAGUUAGGGCUGGAAGAUGAAUGGUGUUUUUAUCGUUCUUGUGAGUUUUCAUGCUGAGCAUGCAGAGCUGCAGUAACAUUGUGAAUAACAUCAAACUCACACUGCAUUACCCACAUACAGCCACAGAGGGAUCGAUUUUUACACCGUUAUCCAGCUCAAAGUAGCUCCACACCUCCUUGCUAGAAUCUGGAGAGCCCUGACAUUUAAAACGAGGCAUUAAUAACUUAAAAAGUGCACAAGAAGCUUAUUAAAAAACACUGUUUACAUCCUAUAAUGCUAGCUUCAGCUCCGAGCGCCGCCAUUGCUGAAGUGAAGUAACAGACAUAUAUAAACAUAGACUACUGGCGCCGGCUGUUACGCUAUGCACAGUCUAUGUAUAUACGUGUCUAUGACUUUUCAAUAUAAAUAUGGCAGCACACCGAGCUGAAGCUAGCGUUAUAGGAUGUUAAUAGUGGUUGUUAAUAAGCUUCUUGUGCACUUUUUAAGUUAGCGAGGAUGAGGGAGGCAAAAUGAGGCGGUGCAAGGGAGACUGAAGUAGAGUGAGGAAAAGCUAGGUUAAUUGAGGUUAAGUGGGGCAUAAUUUGGUAGAGUGAGGCAGAGCUAGGUACACUGAGGCAGCGAGGUACAUCUUGAUAGUGCGAGACAGAGCAAGGUAGAGAGAGCUAGGCUGAGUGAGGCAGCGAGGGAUAUAUUAGUAGAGUAAGGUAGAAGGAAGCAAUCUGAGGCAGAGCUGGGUAGAAUGAGGUGAAGUGAGCGAGGUAGGGUGAGGGAGUGAUGUAAAUCAAGUGAUGUACAGCGAGGCAGAGCUAGGUAGAGCAAGGCAGAGCUAGGUAGAGUGAGUGAGGCAGCGGGGUAGAUAUUGGUAGAGUGAGGCAGAGCUAGGUAGAGUAAGUGGGGUGAAUCCUUGGUAGAGUGAGACAGAGCUAGGUAGAGUGAGUGAGGCAGCAGGGUAGAUCUUGGUAGAGUGAGGCAGAGCUAGGUAGAGUGAGUGAGGCAGCGGGGUAGAUCUUGGUAGAGUGAGACACAGCUAGGUAGAGUGAGUGAGGCAGCGGGGUAGAUCUUGGUAGAGUGAGACACAGCUAGGUAGAGUGAGUGAGGCAGUGGGGUGAAUCCUUGGUAGAGUGAGGCAGAGCUAGGUAGAGUGAGUGAGGCAGCAGGGUAGAUCUUGGUAGAGUGAGGCAGAGCUAGGUAGAGUGAGUGAGGCAGCAGGGUAGAUCUUGGUAGAGUGAGGCAGAGCUAGGUAGAGUAAGUGAGGCAGCGGGGUAGAUCUUGGUAGAGUGAGGCAGAGCUAGGUAGAGUAAGUGAGGCAGCGGGGUAGAUCUUGGUAGAGUGAGGCAGAGCUAGGUGAAGUGAGUGAGGCAGCGGGGUAGAUCUUGGUAGAGUGAGGCAGAGCUAGGUGAAGUGAGUGAGGCAGCGGGGUAGAUCUUGGUAGAGUGAGGCAGAGCUAGGUGAAGUGAGUGAGGCAGCGGGGUAGAUCUUGGUAGAGUGAGGCAGAGCUAGGUGAAGUGAGUGAGGCAGCGGGGUAGAUCUUGGUAGAGUGAGGCAGAGCUAGGUGAAGUGAGUGAGGCAGCGGGGUAGAUCUUGGUAGAGUGAGGCAGAGCUAGGUAGAGUAAGUGAGGCAGCGGGGUAGAUCUUGGUAGAGUGAGACAGAGCUAGGUAGAGUGAGUGAGGCAGUGUGGUAGAUCUUGGUAGAGUGAGGCAGAGCUAGGUAGAGUGAGUGAGGCAGUGUGGUAGAUCUUGGUAGAGUGAGCUAGAGCUAGGUGAAGUGAGUGAGGCAGUGGGGUGAAUCCUUGGAAGAGUGAGGCAGAGCUAGGUAGAGUGAGUGAGGCAGUGGGGUGAAUCCUUGGAAGAGUGAGGCAGAGCUAGGUAGAGUGAGUGAGGCAGCGGGGUAGAGCGAGGCAGAUCUUGGUAAAGCGAGGUAGAGGGAAGCGAAGUGAGGUAGAGCAAGGUAGAACGAGGUGAAGUGAUCCAGGUAGAGUGAAGGAGUGAAGUAAAUUAAGUGAUGUAUAGUGAGGUAGAGCUAGGUAGAGGGAGUCGAGGUGAGGUAGAGGUCCACAGUGAACGCUCACACCAAACUACUUCUUAACCAGGGAAAAAUUAUAAUAAUUGCACCUAAAACUGAAGUGCUAAAAAGCUUUAUAGAAUCUUAAAUCAAUGUUAAAUUAAAGAAAUAAUUUAGAAUAUAUUUUACAUUACUUUAUAUUUACUUCAGAUUUUGUGUAGAAUAAAGUUCCCCCUCUGUUUGGU